AGAAAACAGAGAGUGUGGGGGGCCAGGAGCCGAGGAGCGGGAGAGGGUCAGAGGAGAGAGAGGGUCUGGGGACUCUGGAGCCAGACAGGAGGGGGUUUGGAGGGGUCAGGAGAAGGGCUGAGGGAGACAGCAGGACUCCAACUGCCGAGGGAGGGGGGCAAGACCGGACGUGGAGAAACAUGCUCUGGGUGGACAAGAGCCGGGCCGGGCAGCUGGGGGCCCCGGGGCAGCCUCUGUCUGAUCCUGCGGGGAGCCCCAGGCCUCAGCCACUUCCCUCCCCAGGGAACCUGGCCGCUGGAUUCAACGCCAACCCGGAAUAAGGGGCCCUGAGCUGGCACUGAAGCUAGACAGAAAAAGAGACAAGGUUCCUGCCUGCAGUCUCAAAAGGACUCCAGGACCUAGAAACAGAGGCAGGCUGGCGGCCAGGCUUCGGAAGGCCAGGGAGAGUGCCAGGGCAGGCGGGAGGGGCUUUGUGGGUGCUGACGAGUCUGCUGUGAGAUCUCUGCGGGGGAGGCUGUGAAGGGAGACUGGCACAUUUGCUGACGUGGGCCCUGGUGUCUGCAAACAGGAGCAGGCAGCAUAUGGGAGGGGAGCAGAUGCCCACGGGGGAGGGGGCAGCAGAGCCCAGGCCAUCUCGGGUUACCCGAAGGACCCCUGCUUGAGACCCAGACACCGCUGUCCUGUCAGGAGGCCAGGAACACACAGGUCCACUCAGGGGAGGACAAAGGAUGACAGAGGCCCACCUCUGGCCGGAGGGAAGAGAAGCCGACCAGAAGGGCCACCCUGGGACUUAGCCAAAGUCUCCGGGACAACCCUGCAAAGUGCCGAGCAUGAAAGUCAUGGGUCGAGUGGAGAGUCAGACCCGGAGGUGUCAGCUACAGCAGGGCCAUGGGACCCUGUCCCAAGGGUGCACUGGCAGCCAGCACCCACCACCAGGCCCCCCAGGGCUCAACAAUCUCCUCCACAUGCAGCCACGGACACAGGCACCCGGAGUAGACCCGGCCCUUCAGCAGCUGCAGGACGGUGGCCAUGUCUGCGCUCAGCCGGGUCUCCAGCCUGGGCGAGAAGGAGGAGGAUGCUCUGGGUCUCAGAGAAGUGGAGACACCAGCAACUGUGACUUCAGGACCACCCUGUGGACAGCCAGCUGGUCAACCCCCCAGGCCCACUUUCCAUCCUAGGCGUGGCAGCCCCAGCCUGGCUCCAAAUGCAAGGAGAGGGCGAAGCCGUUGGGACACAUGGACAGGUCUAGACGGAGCGGACAACCCCCCUGGCACCCGACAACACUGCCCGAAACCCACAGAUCACGCUGCAGCACUCUCCUGUCCAACACCUCCUAGCCUGUCCCCCUGGACAUUCACGGGACCCCAGGGACCGCCCUCACCUAUUGAGCUGCCUCUGGAGGGCGUCCAGCCUGGUCUCCACGUCUGCCCGCGGCCGGCGGCCAGGGCUGGACAGGGGGAUAUUGAGGAGGCUGGGAGCAGGGGCAGGGCACCGAGGCAGCUCCUGGUACUGGCGGCCGCGGCUGUCCCCCCAGAAGCUGAAGAUGUUGGACACUCCUGAGAAGGCGCCUGCAUCCAGAGAGCAGGGUUGAGGCUGGAAGGGAGGCCCACAGCCCACCCGCGGGGCAGAGGUCGGGGGGGGGGGGGGGGGGGGGGGGGCUCACCCUACCUGACAGUGGGUUACACGUGUCGCUGCUCUUCUCACCAUCCUCGGUCAGGGGGUCCCCACCCGGCGGCUCUCCGGGGGGCCUGGGGCUGGAGAAGGGCACCAGGCGGAGGGGGCUGGAGCUGCGGCCUGGGCCCUCAUCCUCACUGCUCUCGGGGCUGGAGGGGCCGCUGGACAGGCUCUCCCCCCACGGCCCCCCCUGCCGGCCCCGGCCACUCGGCCCUGCCCCCGCCCGGCUCGGCCCCAAGGCCGACACCUCCCCUGGCUGCUCCGGGUCUGUGGGAGACAGAGAACGGGCCUCAGAGAUGGCAAGAGGAGGCAGAGAGAGGAGGGGAGGGCCGGGGAGGGGAGGGGGCCGGACGCCCUGGCUUGUCCCCAGUCCUGUCUUGUGCUUUCUCCCCCACUUCCAAGAGGACUAAGAACUCCGCGGGCGGGACCACAUCGUCUGUGACGGCUGGCUGCCCGAGCUGGGUCAGUAGCACUGCUGGGCGGGGCUCUCUGGGACCCCGGGCCCUAGCCCUCCCUGCCAUGCUGGCCGCCUCUCCCUCCUUUGCCCUGACUUUCCUCCCCGCAUCGGUUCAAAGCAGCGCCCAUCAAGACACCAGCCCUGUGAGGACCCAAUAAACUUAGGCGCGCCCCUGCCCUGGAGAGUGCAAGAGGGCUUCCUGGAGAACGUGACAUUUCAAGUGGGCCUGAAAGGAUGGGGUGAGGAGGAGGGAACGCUGACGGUAGGGGUGGGAGCUCUGUGGGGCCUAGGAGGAGCAGACCUGCCGGUCCCGCCCUCUGCUCCGCCCCCUCUAGGCCCCGCCUGGCUCCCGCCUCCCGCCUCCCCUGGGCCCCGCCCCCUCCACUCCCCUCCCCCGCCCCCUCCACUCCCCUCCCCUGCCCCCUCCCCUCCCCCGCCUCACCCUUGUCCGUGCGCCGGCGGAAGGACAGCUUGCGUUUGCGUUGCCGGUUGAAGCCGCCCUCCAACUCCGCGCUGCCCGGAGAGCCAGGGAUCAUGUUGGUCUGAAACCCAAGAGCAGUGUUAGGGCCCUUCCGCGCCCACCUGCCCUGCCCGGUCUCGGGGAAGACCCUCUCAUGACCAGAGGAGGUGGGACUGGGCGUGCCCGCUCCCGGGGAGGUGUGAGCUCCGCCGCAGGACCAGGGCUGAGACUGGCACUUUUCACAACCUGGUCUGACCCAGAUACCAUUAAACAAGCCCAGAGAGAAGGUCCCGCGGCGAAGGGGCAGCCACCCAGCAGGGCGGUCGGCCGCGUGGCCCACUCACAUCGCGCAGGUUGAAGGUGAUCUCCAGGCUAGACCAGAAGUGGUCAGAGAACUCGGGGUACAUGUCCAGCACCUCCAGCAGGUCGUCGCGGUGGAUCUUGUGCAGGUCGCAGUAGGUGAGGGCCCGCACGUCCCCGUUGGACUUCCCAGGGCGCGCGUACAGGUUCAGAGGCUCUCCGAAGAUGUCGUUCUUCCCUGGAGGCCACCGAGAGGGGGGCUCAGCCCCGGGGCGGCCGCAGAGGCAGCAGGCACCUGUCUUCCGUGCAUUGUCACCCUGGCCGGGCACCUCCCCUCAGUCUGAUCAUGUGCUGCCCAGCCCCAGCCCCCAGGGCCAGGGGGCACCAGCCGGCCCAUCUGCCCCCAGCUCCCAAAGGCAGGACAGGUGCCGUGUGGUGCCCUGGAGGAGAAGGGCCAGGAACCUGUGCCUCCCAGCUACUAUAGGGCCAGCCAACAGCGCCAGCCUGGAUGCCCAGCUCUGCCCAAGACCCUGGCUUCCUCCUUAGGUUCUGACUCCUCUGGUACCCCCCCCCACCAAAGCCCAUUCCCACACAUCCCCUGGCUAAGCACUGCACCCCCAUGAACAAUGUUCUUCAAGCUACAGAUCAUGACACAGUAGUGAAUCAAGACAAGCAUUUUGUUUACUGAGAGAAAACAGGAUAGCAUAGCUGAGCACAGGCAUAGAACGGAAAACACCGGGAUGCAGUUAAGGCAACUGCAGUUUACCAAAACUUUGGUUGCAGUGGUGUUUGGGGGUGUUUGCAGCAUGAGCAUUAAGCCCCACCGUGACACACCAGCCCUGAGGUGGUCAGGGCCGAGGGGAGGACAGGCAGAGGGCAGGAAGUCCCCAGCGCCCAGGCACACCUGUCCACGUGCUCAGGUAGGGCGGAGAAGAAGGGAUUCGAGGGGAAGAGGGGCAGACUCCCUCUGCUCUGGAGGUGAGGACUUGGCUGUACCACAGGGCCCUAAGUAGAAAUCCGUCACACAACCUCCCCCACUGCCUAUCUUGGAGCAUUUGGAUUUGGUCCCAUUUUAAGAAACAAGAGUGUCACAGCCCCCCAAAGGGAAACUGAAUUUGGAAACCUCCAGAGUUCAGCAGCACCCACCCCCCACCACCACGCAGGGUUCCUCUCCCCGGCCCCGUGGGAGGACCUGAGCUUGGGUGAAUUAAAGGAGCCCAAGGCCCCUGUGGGCAGUCACAGGGCCACAGGCCCCGGGGGCUGUGUCCUUCGAGGGCUGGACCUCUGCAACCGUGGCAGGCACUCCGGGCCCAGCUCCCGGUCCCUGCCAUACCCAGGAUGGCCACGACCACGUCACCCCGCAGGAUCUCGAUGGAGCCCCGGGAGAUGAAGUAGAGGGCGGUGAGCAGGUCCCCGGCGUGCACCAGCGUGUCUCCGGGCGGCGCGUGAGUCGUCUUGAACUUCAUGGCCAGGGCCCGCAGGCAGCCCUUGGUGGCCCCUCGGAAGGGCUUGCAGUGCUGCAGCAGUGAGCGGUUCAGGUGUAGACAGAUGUCGGCCUGCAGGCACUCGGGGAAGCCCUUCAGCACCUGGGGGCAGGGGGGAGGCUCAGCACGCCCUCUCCUGGGACCCCCACUCCCACCCCCCCCACCUGGAGAGCCGGCCGGGGAGCACCAGGGUGUCCAGGAUCUAUCAGGGGAAGGACCUGGGUGUCCACGCCAGCUCCACCCCUCCUCCCUGCAGACUGUGCACCCCUGGGACAACGCCUCACUGCUCUCACCUUCACCUUCUAACGUGUGAGGCGUGGAGACCAUCUCCUGC